CCUACGGGUGGCAGCAGUGAGGAAUAUUGGUCAAUGGCCGGAAGACUGAACCAGCCAAGCCGCGUGAAGGAGGAAGGCGCAGAGCGUCGCAGACCUCUUUUGCCGGGGGACAAAAGGCCGGACUCGUCCGGUCCUGAGGGUACCCGGAGAAAAAGCAUCGGCUAACUCCGUGCCAGCAGCCGCGGUAAUACGGAGGGUGCGAGCGUUAUCCGGAUUCAUUGGGUUUAAAGGGUGCGCAGGCGGGCCUUUAAGCCGGCGGUGAAAUCGCGGGGCGAAACCCGGCCGAGCCGUCGGAACUGGGGGCCUUGAGUGCGGAGGAGGCAGGCGGAAUGCGAGGUGUAGCGGGGAAAUGCAUAGAGAUCGCGCAGAACCCCGAUUGCGAAGGCAGCGGGCCGUGGCGCCACUGACGCUGAGGCACGAAAGCGCGGGGAUCGAACAGGAUUAGAUACCCUUGUAGUC
rnacentral:rRNA from 1 species